GGGUGCGAUCAUACCAGCACUUCACCAUCAGAACUCCGCAGUUAAACGUGCUUGGGCGAGAGUAGUACUAGGAUGGGUGACCUCCUGGGAAGUCCUCGUGUUGCACCCC
rnacentral:rRNA from 1 species